GACGAACGCUGGCGGCGUGCUUAACACAUGCAAGUCGAACGGAAAGGCCCUGCUUUUGUGGGGUGCUCGAGUGGCGAACGGGUGAGUAACACGUGAGUAACCUGCCCUUGACUUUGGGAUAACUUCAGGAAACUGGGGCUAAUACCGGAUAGGAGCUCCUGCUGCAUGGUGGGGGUUGGAAAGUUUCGGCGGUUGGGGAUGGACUCGCGGCUUAUCAGCUUGUUGGUGGGGUAGUGGCUUACCAAGGCUUUGCCGGGUAGCCGGCCUGGGAGGGUGACCGGCCACAUUGGGACUGAGAUACGGCCCAGACUCGUACGGGAGGCAACGGUGGAGAGUAUUGCACAGUGGGCGGAAGCCUGAUGCAGCAACGCCGCGUGCGGGAUGACGUCCUUCGGGUUGUAAACCGCUGUCGCCUGUGACGAAGCGUGAGUGACGGUAAUGGGUAAAGAAGCACCGGCUAACUACGUG
rnacentral:rRNA from 1 species